GGUCCCAUAGCUCAGUGGUUAGAGUAUUGCUCAUGAAAAGCAGGGUCCCAGGUUCGAGUCCUGGUGGGUCUG